GAUGAAGAACGUAGCGAAAUGCGAUAAGUAAUGUGAAUUGCAGAAUUCAGUGAAUCAUCGAAUCUUUGAACGCACAUUGCGCCCGCCAGUAUUCUGGCGGGCAUGCCUGUUCGAGCGUCAUUUCAACCAUCAAGCCCCCGGCUUGUGUUGGGGACCUGCGGCUGCCCGCAGGCCCUGAAAACCAGUGGCGGGCUCGCUAGUCACUCCGAGCGUAGUAAUACAUCUCGCUCAGGGCGUGCUGCGGGUUCCGGCCGUUAAAAAGCCUUAUUUACCCAAGGUUGACCUCGGAUCAGGUAGGAAGACCCGCUGAACUUAAGCAUAUCAAUAAGCGGAGGA
rnacentral:misc_RNA from 1 species